CCUACGGGCGGCAGCAGUGAGGAAUAUUGGUCAAUGGGCGGAAGCCUGAACCAGCCAAGUAGCGUGCGGGAUGAAGGCCCUACGGGUCGUAAACCGCUGUUGCACGGGGAUAACACCCUCCACUUGUGGAGGUCUGCAGGUACCGUGCGAAUAAGGGCCGGCUAAUUCCGUGCCAGCAGCCGCGGUAAUACGGAAGGCCCGAGCGUUAUCCGGAUUCAUUGGGCUUAAAGGGAGCGUAGGCGGGCGUUCAAGUCAGCUGUAAAAGCGCGCGGCUCAACCGCGCCCCGCAGUUGAAACUGGACGCCUUGAGUUCACAACAGGCAGGCGGAAUUCGUGGUGUAGCGGUGAAAUGCAUAGAUAUCACGAGGAACCCCGAUUGCAAAGGCAGCCUGCCGGGGUGCGACUGACGCUGAGGCUCGAAGGUGCGGGUAUCAAACAGGAUUAGAUACCCGAGUAGUC
rnacentral:rRNA from 1 species